rnacentral:rRNA from 1 species
AUUGAACGCUGGCGGCAGGCUUAACACAUGCAAGUCGAGCGAGCGGCGGACGGGUGAGUAAUGUCUGGGAAACUGCCUGAUGGAGGGGGAUAACUACUGGAAACGGUAGCUAAUACCGCAUACCAUCAGAUGUGCCCAGAUGGGAUUAGCUAGUCGGUGGUGUAAUGGCUCACCUAGGCGACGAUCCCUAGCUGGUCUGAGAGGAUGACCAGCCACACUGGACAUGAAACCAGGUCCAGGCUCCUACGGGUGGCAGCAGUGGGGAAGAUUGCACCAUGGGCGCAAGCCUGAUUCAGCAAUGCCGCGUGUGUGAAGAAGGCCUUGGGGUUGGAAAGCACUUUCAGCGAGGAGGCGUUACCCGCAGAAGAAGCACCGGCUAACUCCGUGCCAGCAGCCGCGGUAAUAC